rnacentral:tRNA from 1 species
AAGUAAGAAGCGAACAUAUUGCAUUCAGUUUCGACCUGACCUUUGGUAUUAAUUACCCUUACUUU